rnacentral:rRNA from 1 species
CCUACGGGAGGCUGCAGUGGGGAAUAUUGCACAAUGGGGGAAACCCUGAUGCAGCGACGCCGCGUGAGUGAAGAAGUAUUUCGGUACGUAAAGCUCUAUCAGCAGGGAAGAAAAUGACGGUACCUGACUAAGAAGCCCCGUCUAACUACGUGCCAGCAGCCGCGGUAAUACGUAGGGGGCCAGCGUUAUACGGAUUUACUGGGUGUAAAGGGAGCGUAGGCGGCAGCGCAAGGCUGGAGUGAAAUCCCAUGGCUUAACCAUGGAACUGCUGUGGAAACUGUGCAGCUAGAGUGCAGGAGAGGUAAGCGGAAUUCGUAGUGUAGCGGUGAAAUGCGUAGAUAUUAGGAGGAACACCAGUGGCGAAGGCGGCUUACUGGACUGUAACUGACGUUGAGGCUCGAAAGCGUGGGGAGCAAACAGGAUUAGAUACCCUUGUAGUC